rnacentral:rRNA from 1 species
UUCGGACAAUAUACAAGGUGCUGCAUGGUUGUCGUCAGCUCGUGCCGUGAGGUAGUCGGGUUAAGUCCCAUAACGAGCGCAACCCCUAUCAUUAGUUGCCAUCAGGUCAAGCUGGGGACUCUAAUGAAACUGCCUACGCAAGUAGUGAGGAAGUGGGGAUGACGUCAAAUCAGCACGGCCCUUACGUCCGGGGCGACACACGUGUUACAAUGGGUGGUACAAAGGGCAGCUACCUGGCGACAGGAUGCUAAUCUCGAAAACCGCUCUCAGUUCGGAUCGGAGUCUGCAACUCGACUCCGUGAAGCUGGAUUCGCUAGUAAUCGCGCAUCAGCCACGGCGCGGUGAAUACGUUCCCGGGCCUU